rnacentral:lncRNA from 1 species
CCAGUGUUGUCGAGUGCGCCCUGUCCCCCAGGACCCCCUCAGGUCCUGUUCUCCUGUGCAGAUGUCGGUCUGCGCCUCCUCGCCCCGCUGAUGCCCUUCCUGGCAGAAGAACUUUGGCAGAGGCUGCCCCCCAGGCAAGGUGGCUCCAUGGCUCCCAGCAUCUGUGUGGCCCCCUACCCCAGUGGUCACAGCCUGGUGAGUCGUGGGCAGCCUUCCUCGGGGUGGCUGAAGGUUACUCCGUUACCCAUGAGGCUUUUCUCAUGGGAUUGCCAGCAAGCACCUACCUGCUGAGCGGUUUCCCCACCCCCACCGUCCUGGACUCCUCCCACCUCCUCUGCCCCCCAAGUGCUGGCAUUAGGCCCGAGUCACGGUGCCCGGCCCGGCUGUAUUUGAUACUAUGUCACUGAAUCGCUGUGAGUUAACAUUAUGCCCCAACCCAGGGUGUGGUGUGGCCAUUGUGAGUUUGAGACCAGCCUUAGUCCACAUAUUAAGUUCCAGGACAGCCCAGGAUACAAAGGGACCCCUGUCUCAAAAAGAGAAAAGAAAAUCUGGGGUUGGAGGGGUGGCUCAGUGGUGAAGAGAAUUUGUUCUUGCAGAAGACCUGGGUUCCGUUUCAACAUUGGUGGCUACAGCUGUCUGUAACUGCAAUUCCAGGGGAUCCAGCAGGCACACAUGUGUUGAUUUUGGGCCUCGUGUUUUGAUAGGGUUUAGAGUUCUAGCUUCAGUGAGAGUGGUUGGUGCCUUCAGAGUGAGUACAAACAUAGCCGCUGGUUGU